UACACUCCUACGGGAGGCAGCAGUGGGGAAUUUUGGACAAUGGGCGAAAGCCUGAUCCAGCCAUGCCGCGUGCAGGAUGAAGGCCUUCGGGUUGUAAACUGCUUUUGUACGGAACGAAACGGCCUUUUCUAAUAAAGAGGGCUAAUGACGGUACCGUAAGAAUAAGCACCGGCUAACUACGUGCCAGCAGCCGCGGUAAUACGUAGGGUGCAAGCGUUAAUCGGAAUUACUGGGCGUAAAGCGUGCGCAGGCGGUUAUGUAAGACAGUUGUGAAAUCCCCGGGCUCAACCUGGGAACUGCAUCUGUGACUGCAUAGCUAGAGUACGGUAGAGGGGGAUGGAAUUCCGCGUGUAGCAGUGAAAUGCGUAGAUAUGCGGAGGAACACCGAUGGCGAAGGCAAUCCCCUGGACCUGUACUGACGCUCAUGCACGAAAGCGUGGGGAGCAAACAGGAUUAGAAACCCUGGUAGUCCC
rnacentral:rRNA from 1 species